AGAGUUUGAUCCUGGCUCAGAUUGAACGCUGGCGGCGUGCUUAACACAUGCAAGUCGAGCGGAAAGGCCCUUCGGGGUACUCGAGCGGCGAACGGGUGAGUAACACGUGAGCAAUCUGCCCCUAGCUCUGGGAUAGCUCCGGGAAACCGGAAUUAAUACUGGAUAUGACCACGGCUGACAUCGGCUGUGGUGGAAAGAUU
rnacentral:rRNA from 1 species